rnacentral:rRNA from 1 species
AUUGAACGCUGGCGGCAUGCUUUACACAUGCAAGUCGAACGGCAGCGCGGGCUUCGGCCUGGCGGCGAGUGGCGAACGGGUGAGUAAUACAUCGGAACGUGCCCAGUAGUGGGGGAUAGCUCGGCGAAAGCCGGAUUAAUACCGCAUACGACCUGAGGGUGAAAGCGGGGGAUCUUCGGACCUCGCGCUAUUGGAGCGGCCGAUGGCAGAUUAGCUAGUUGGUGGGGUAAAGGCCUACCAAGGCGACGAUCUGUAGCUGGUCUGAGAGGACGACCAGCCACACUGGGACUGAGACACGGCCCAGACUCCUACGGGAGGCAGCAGUGGGGAAUUUUGGACAAUGGGCGAAAGCCUAAUCCAGCAAUGCCGCGUGUGUGAUGAAGGCCUUCGGGUUGUAAAGCACUUUUGGCGGGAACGAAAAGGACUGUGCCAAUACCACGGUUCGAUGACGGUACCCGCAGAAUAAGCACCGGCUAACUACGUG